rnacentral:rRNA from 1 species
UACGUAGGUGGCGAGCGUUGUCCGGAUUUACUGGGUGUAAAGGGCGUGUAGGCGGGGAUGUAAGUCAGAUGUGAAAUACCGAGGCUUAACUUCGGGGGUGCAUCUGAAACUAUGUUUCUUGAGUACUGGAGAGGGAAGCGGAAUUCCUAGUGUAGCGGUGAAAUGCGUAGAUAUUAGGAGGAACACCAGUGGCGAAGGCGGCUUCCUGGACAGUAACUGACGCUGAGGCGCGAAAGCGUGGGUAGCGAACAGGAUUAGAUACCCUGGUAGUCCACGCCGUAAACGAUGGAUACUAGGUGUAGGAGGUAUCGACCCCUUCUGUGCCGGAGUUAACACAAUAAGUAUCCCACCUGGGGAGUACGGCCGCAAGGCUGAAACUCAAAGGAAUUGACGGGGGCCCGCACAAGCAGUGGAGUAUGUGGUUUAAUUCGAAGCAACGCGAAGAACCUUACCAGGGCUUGACAUCCCUCGAAUACUAUAGAGAUAUAGUAGUCCUUCGGGACGAGGAGACAGGUGGUGCAUGGUU